UCGAGAAUCUUCGGCAAUGGGCGCAAGCCUGACCGAGCGACGCCGCGUGGAGGAUGAAGGCCUUCGGGUUGUAAACUCCUGUCGAGGGGGAAAAAGGGCCGCAAGGCCUUGAUUGAUCCCUGGAGGGAGCACGGGCUAAGUUCGUGCCAGCAGCCGCGGUAAGACGAACCGUGCGAACGUUAUUCGGAAUCAUUGGGCUUAAAGCGCGUGUAGGCGGAUUCGUGCGUCUGUCGCUGAAAUCCCCCGGCUCAACCGGGGAACGGGCGCGGAUACGACGAGUCUGGAGGGGCAUAGGGGGACCUGGAACUUCCGGUGGAGCGGUGAAAUGCGUUGAGAUCGGAAGGAACGCCCGUGGCGAAAGCGAGGUCCUGGAUGCCUACUGACGCUGAGACGCGAAAGCCAGGGGAGCGAACGGGAUUAGAUACCCCGGUAGUCCUGGCCGUAAACGAUGGGUACUGGAUAGGGGGCUCGCCGAUGGGCUCCCUGUCGUAGGGAAACCGUGAAGUACCCCGCCUGGGGAGUAUGGUCGCAAGGCUGA
rnacentral:rRNA from 1 species